GACGAACGCUGGCGGCGUGCUUAACACAUGCAAGUCGAACGGAAAGGCCCUGCUUUUGUGGGGUGCUCGAGUUGCGAACGGGUGAGUAACACGUGAGUAACCUGCCCUUGACUUUGGGAUAACUUCAGGAAACUGGGGCUAAUACCGGAUAGGAGCUCCUGCUGCAUGGUGGGGGUUGGAAAGUUUCGGCGGUUGGGGAUGGACUCGCGGCUUAUCAGCUUGUUGGUGGGGUAGUGGAUUACCAAGGCAUGGACGGGUAGCCGACCUGAGAGGGGAAGCGGCCACACCAGGACUGAGAUAAGGCCCGGACCAGUACGGGAGGCAAGGGAGGAGAAUGGUGCACAAUGGGAGGAAGGAUGAUGCAGCAAAGCCGCGUGGGGGAUGACGGGAUUCCGGUUGUAAACCGAAUUCGCCUGUGACGAAGCGUGAAUGACGGUAAUGGGUAAAGAAGCACCGGCUAACUACGUG
rnacentral:rRNA from 1 species